GAUCCACCCAUGGGCCUUGGACCCAGAUCAGGCCAUGUUCCGGCCCUGAUCAUCCCAACGCAGAACCAGGCCAGAUCGGCCCAUCACCCCUCUCUGCAUUUGCUUCUUCCCGGAUAGGAUCGCGAAGUGGUGGGGUGAGAUGCGACGAGUUCUCCAGAUGUUCCUCGGCAAGCUCUAACAGG